rnacentral:rRNA from 1 species
AUGGAGAGGUAUCGAGUUUGGUCUCGAACUGUUGAAGAAGGUCUGAUUUGGCGCAUAGGAAAUGGUAGAAGCAUACAAAUAACAAGAGAUCAAUGGAUUCCAAGGAAGGAGGGACUGAAAGUUGCAGUUUUUGCAAGGAGGUCAAGACUCCAAUGGGUCAACCAACUGAUAGACCAGGAGACAAAAGAGUGGAAGGUGGAACUAGUGAGGCAAGUUUUCCACAAGUUUGAUGCUGAUGAGAUUUGUAAAAUAAGAAUUCUGAAGGUGGAUGUGGAGGAUUGCAUAGCUUGGCACGGCGAGAACUCUGGGAUCUUUACAGUCAAGAGCGCCUACAAACUGGCAGAUUCGAUACCGAGAAAUAAAGUAGAGAAGCCAACAAGUUCAGCGAGGGAGCCGGGUGAUCGCAUUAUCUGGGACGCUAUUUGGAAAGCAAAAAUACCAGAAAAGGUAAAGAUUUUUGGCUGGAGAGUAGCUACCAAUUCUCUACCCACUAAGCAUAACGCAUUCAGACGCACCAUAGCGGAGGAUAAUGUUUGUGAAAUUUGUGGAGUGGAAAAAGAAGAUGAAUAUCAUGCCAUCAUAACAUGCACUAGAAGCCGAGCACUAAGGUAUGAAAUGAGGGGAGUUUGAGAUUUGCCUAAGGAAUCUGAACUCAGUUACACGGGUGGGGAUUGGUUGCAAAUGCCGAUGUUAUCUCAGUCAGAGAAUGUCAGAAACAACACACUGAUGGUCCUCUGGCAGGCGUGGAACUUAAGAAACAACCUGGUGCAUGGCGAUGGGAAGCAUACUGUCUCGAAUUUAGUGAGGCAUCUGAUUAAAUUAAAAGAAGAUCUUCUGUUGACUACAGGUGACUCGUCAGUGGAGGAAAGUAAGAAUAAGCAGUCUCUGUUCCCUGUUAAAAACUGUAAGCCGGCUUCCCCGAUGUCAACCAGUUGGUCCGGCCCGGAACCAGGCAGGGCAAAAUUAAACUGUGAUGCCGCGUUUUCUGAGGAUACAGGACAGACCUGGGGAGGGGCCGUGGCUAGAGACCAUAAGGGGCAUGUUUUUUUCUCUGUUGGCCGUCGACUGGCUCGAUGCAGUUCAGCAGAAGAAGCAGAGGGUGCGGUAGCUAUAAUGAGCCUAGCAGAAUUCUCAAAGUUGUUUGUAGGUCAGCUGGUCCUUUAA